CAAAAUGCAACGAACAGAACAAGGUUAUCUGAGAAACCUGUAUCACAGAGAGCUGCCGGCUGGUGUAAGGCAGUAUACAGCUUCAGGAACUAUCCUCUGCGAGCAGUGCACUGAAUUUUCAUAGUAAGUGUCACCGGUAUUCUACCGUUAUUUAGAAGCUUAUUGUUGUAGGCAUCUGCCCACAAAGAUAAGACAGAGAGGUCGUAUUUUACGGCAAACAAAGUGGUAACGCGGAAGCUUAAGCCUUCGUCUUUGAG
rnacentral:ncRNA from 1 species